rnacentral:rRNA from 1 species
GACGAACGCUGGCGGCGUGCUUAACACAUGCAAGUCGAACGAAAAUACCAAGCUUGCUUGGUUGAUUAGUGGCGAACGGGUGAGUAACACGUGAGUAACCUGCCCCUUACUUUCCUGGAUAACUGCUCGAAAGGGUAGCUAAUACGGGAUAUUCUGACCAGCCUGCAUGGGUUGGUUUGGAAAGGUUGUUUUUCUGGUAAGGGAUGGGCUCGCGGCCUAUCAGCUUGUUGGUGGGGUGAUGGCCUACCAAGGCUUUGACGGGUAGCCGGCCUGAGAGGGUGGACGGUCACACUGGGACUGAGUUACGGCCCAGACUCCUACGGGAGGCAGCAGUGGGGAAUAUUGCACAAUGGGCGCAAGCCUGAUGCAGCGACGCCGCGUGAGGGAUGAAGGCCUUCGGGUUGUAAACCUCUUUCGUCAGGGAACAAGGCACUGCUUUUUUGGUGGUGUUGAGGGUACCUGGAUAAGAAGCGCCGGCUAACUACGUG